rnacentral:lncRNA from 1 species
GGCUGCGCGGCCCGGCGACGAGCGCGGAGCGGCGGCGGCUUCCAGAGUCGCUUGAACUCGGGAACCUUUUAGGUCUUGAGUCAUGCGGCGGUCUUCGGGGACACCGACUGCCUUCCAGAAGGAUGAAUUUGGGCCAGCCCAAGGCCGGCGUAUUUAGACUGGGUCUUUUCUGUAGAAAGCAAAGACCGAAGGUUUUAAGGGUUUCCCGCGAGCAGACGCUCUGGGUGGCUCGCAGAGGCACCACGUGAGACCUGGACACGCAGCCAGAGCCCUGUCCAAUGACUUGCGACUUGGGGUGUUCAAAAGAGGCUUUUGCAUGAUCACUAGUGAGACCUCGUUAGCGUGAAAACGAAACAAGGAGUGUUCAGAAAAUGCAAGAUAUACGAUUCCUCUUGGUUUAAAUCUAAGUUUAAAAAAUGCACCAGUUACCACUAUGAAGCAGCGAUAUGCGGUUCUUGGGGAAAAGAAUCUCUUGUAGCAAUAGAAAAUGUUCCGCAGCUCGACCCUGACCCGACAUGGUUCGCUCUGGGGAGGGGACUGGUGGUGGCGAAGGUCAGAGAGGGACAAAAAGACCUGGCUUUGGAAUUUGAGAAGCGAGCCGGCGUUGCGGAGUGCAGAGGCGCAGAGGAUUCUGUCGAGAGGAUGCCGUUGAAUUCGGGAGAGAAACGUGCAGAUAUUGCUGUGUUAAUAUUCGGGUGUUACAAAAUCAUUGUCUCUUCAGGAUGUAAUCUGAGAAUAGGGACUGUUUCUGCUCUUCCAAAUAUUUUAGAGCUGCUCAUCUUGAGGAGGAAAGAACUACAUUCAGAGGUUAGCUACUGGUACCGCUCUGAGUCACUGGGAGAUUGUUCUGCCAUUUCCAUCUCUCUACCCAAACAAGAGUUGACGUUGGAUUUUCUCCAAACAACUGAGCAGCUGCCCCUUUCUCUUUGUGGAACAAGGAGCUCUGAAGACUUCCCAUAUCAUAUCCAGGCUCUCCUGGAUAUUUAUCCGUGUUAA